UACGUAGGGUGCAAGCGUUGUCCGGAAUUAUUGGGCGUAAAGAGCUCGUAGGCGGUCUGUCGCGUCGGCUGUGAAAACUCGGGGACUCAAGCCCCGACGCCUGCAGUCGAUACGGGCAGACUAGAGUUCGGUAGGGGAGACUGGAAUUCCUGGUGUAGCGGUGAAAUGCGCAGAUAUCAGGAGGAACACCGGUGGCGAAGGCGGGUCUCUGGGCCGAUACUGACGCUGAGGAGCGAAAGCGUGGGGAGCGAACAGG
rnacentral:rRNA from 1 species